rnacentral:rRNA from 1 species
AGCUCCAAUAGCGUAUAUUAAAGUUGUUGCAGUUAAAAAGCUCGUAGUUGGAUUUCUGAUAUCUUUUUCUGUCCAUCUUGUCUGGUCAAGUACCGAUGUUGGAUUUGAUUGGAUGUCAUCUUUCUCUGUUUAAUUUGUAGUUGAUGCAUUAAUUUGUAUUGAUUACAAAUGGAGAUCAUUUACUGUGAAAAAAUUAGAGUGUUCAAAGCAUGAUUUAUAAUCUUGAAUACAUUAGCAUGGAAUAAUAAGAUAGGACUAGAGUACUAUUUUGUUGGUUUGCAUACUUUAGUAAUGAUUAAUAGGAACAUAUUGGGGAUAUCUGUAUUUUUUAGUCAGAGGUGAAAUUCUUGGAUUUAAGAAAGACAAACUACAGCGAAAGCAUUUAUCAAGGAUGUUUUCA